AUGAAUUCAAAAUCCGCUUUCCUUCUGAUCGUGGUGGCAGUUAGCACCACGGCCAUGGUGCACGGCCACCCUGCCGCUAGCACUCCAGCGGCACGGUUCUGGGAGCAGGCCCUCUCCGGCACGCCGAUGCCGGAGGUGCUAGCUGAUUUUGUUCAGAAAGGAAUGGAUCUGUCACCGCUCGUGGAGCACUACUCUGCACAGCCUAGUAUCGGCAUGUGCACACUCUUCAACACUAUCUGCGACGCGCGCACGGUGGCGGAGACCGGCAUCUUCUUCCACGAGGCCGAGCUACAUCCGGGCAGCACCAUGACCCUGUAUUUCCCAGCGGAGGCGGAGACAGCCAUCCUCCCGCACGACAUCGCCGGCAAGGUCCCCUUCGAGAACCUAAGCGACGUCCUCUCCACGUUCCACAUCUCACCAGGCUCCGCUGAGGCUGCGCAAGUGGAGGACACCCUGCGCAAGUGUCAGCAGCCGCCAAUCGCCGGUGAGAUAAAAGCCUGCACCAUGUCGCUAGAGAGCACUGUAAAGGCCGCCAUGGAGAUGCUCGGCACCACCAUCCAGCAGGGUGGUGGUGGUGGUGACGUGUGGGCGGCCACGUCGACGCUCCCCCGCGGUGGCCUGCUACCACACCGGGAGUACAUUGUCCAGGAGGUCACCAAGCUAGAGGGCACUGGCUACGUGGCCUGCCACAAGGUGCCGUUCCCAUACGCCGUCUUCCAUUGUCACAUCGCACAUACGGGGUAUAUAGGUUACAAGGUCACCCUCCACGGCCGCGGCGACAACGAGGGCCCUGUGGUUUCCUUGCUGGCGUUCUGCCAUUUCGACACCUCCCACUGGAAUCCGGCACACCCGGCGUUCCAGAUACUGAAGACCCACCCUGGUGCCAGUACGUCGGUGUGCCACUUCAUGUCGUAUGGCAAUCUCGCGUUCAUCAAGAAGGCACGCACAGCCUAG
rnacentral:rRNA from 1 species